rnacentral:rRNA from 1 species
GUAGGUGGCAAGCGUUGUCCGGAAUUAUUGGGCGUAAAGCGCGCGCAGGCGGUUCUUUAAGUCUGAUGUGAAAGCCCACGGCUCAACCGUGGAGGGUCAUUGGUAACUGGAGAACUUGAGUACAGAAGAGGAAAGCGGAAUUCCACGUGUAGCGGUGAAAUGCGUAGAGAUGUGGAGGAACACCAGUGGCGAAGGCGGCUUUCUGGUCUGUAACUGACGCUGAGGCGCGAAAGCGUGGGGAGCAAACAGGGAUUAGAUACCCUGGUAGUCCACGCCGUAAACGAUGAGUGCUAAGUGUUAGGGGGUUUCCCGCCCCUUAGUGCUGCAGCUAACGCAUUAAGCACUCCGCCUGGGGAUACGGCCGCAAGGCUG